rnacentral:rRNA from 1 species
AUUGAACGCUGGCGGCAGGCCUAACACAUGCAAGUCGAGCGGAUGAAGGGAGCUUGCUCCUGGAUUCAGCGGCGGACGGGUGAGUAAUGCCUAGGAAUCUGCCUGGUAGUGGGGGAUAACGUCCGGAAACGGGCGCUAAUACCGCAUACGUCCUGAGGGAGAAAGUGGGGGAUCUUCGGACCUCACGCUAUCAGAUGAGCCUAGGUCGGAUUAGCUAGUUGGUGGGGUAAAGGCCUACCAAGGCGACGAUCCGUAACUGGUCUGAGAGGAUGAUCAGUCACACUGGAACGUGGACACGGUCCAGACUCCUACGGGAGGCAGCAGUGGGGAAUAUUGGACAAUGGGCGAAAGCCUGAUCCAGCCAUGCCGCGUGUGUGAAGAAGGUCUUCGGAUUGUAAAGCACUUUAAGUUGGGAGGAAGGGCAGUAAGUUAAUACCUUGCUGUUUUGACGUUACCAACAGAAUAAGCACCGGCUAACUUCGUG